rnacentral:rRNA from 1 species
AAGAGUUUGAUCCUGGCUCAGGAUUAACGCUGGCGGCGUGCCUAAUACAUGCAAGUCGAACGGAAACCUUCGGGUUUUAGUGGCGAACGGGUGAGUAACACGUAAGCAACCUACCCUAAAGACGAGGAUAACCAUUGGAAACAGUGGCUAAGACUGGAUAGGAAGAUAAAAGGCAUCUUGUAUCUUUUAAAAGACCUAGUUAAUAGGUAUGCUUUAGGAGGGGCUUGCGCCAUAUUAGUUAGUUGGUAGGGUAAUGGCCUACCAAGACGAUGAUGUGUAGCUGGACUGAGAGGUUGAACAGCCACAUUGGGACUGAGACACGGCCCAAACUCCUACGGGAGGCAGCAGUAGGGAAUUUUCGGCAAUGGAGGAAACUCUGACCGAGCAACGCCGCGUGAAUGACGAAGUACUUCGGUAUGUAAAGUUCUUUUAUCGAGGAAGAAAAGCAAAUGGCGAACCAUUUGUUUGCCGGUACUUGAUGAAUAAGCCCCGGCUAAUUAUGUGCCAGCAGCCGCGGUAAGACAUAAGGGGCAAGUGUUAUCCGGAAUUAUUGGGCGUAAAGGGUGCGUAGGCGGUCUAGUAAGUCAGUGGUGUAAUGGCAACGCUUAACGUUGUCCGGCUAUUGAAACUGCUAAACUUGAGUUAGAUAGAGGCGAGUGGAAUUCCAUGUGUAGCGGUAAAAUGCGUAAAUAUAUGGAGGAACACCAGAGGCGUAGGCGGCUCGCUGGGUCUUAACUGACGCUGAGGCACGAAAGCGUGGGGAGCAAACAGGAUUAGAUACCCUGGUAGUCCACGCCGUAAACGAUGAGUACUAAGUGUCGGGUUAAACCGGUACUGAAGUUAACACAUUAAGUACUCCGCCUGAGUAGUACGUACGCAAGUAUGAAACUUAAAGGAAUUGACGGGACUCCGCACAAGCGGUGGAUCAUGUUGUUUAAUUCGAAGAUACCCGAAAAACCUUACCAGGUCUUGACAUGUUUUUGCAAAAUGAUAGUAAUAUCGUGGAGGUUACCAGAAACACAGGUGGUGCAUGGUUGUCGUCAGCUCGUGUCGUGAGAUGUUAGGUUAAGUCAUAAAACGAGCGAAACCCUUAUCGUUAGUUGCCAGCACGUUAUGGUGGGGACUUUAACGAGACUGCCAAUGAUAAAUUGGAGGAAGGUGAGGAUCACGUCAAAUCAGCAUGCCCCUUAUGACCUGGGCUACAAACGUGAUACAAUGGCUGUUACAAAGGGUAGCUGAAACGCAAGUUCUUGGCCAAUCCCCAAAAACAGUCCCAGUCCGGAUUGAAGUCUGCAACUCGACUUCAUGAAGUUGGAAUCGCUAGUAAUCGCGAAUCAGCAUGUCGCGGUGAAUACGUUCUCGGGGUUUGUACACACCGCCCGUCAAACCACGAAAGUUGGCAAUACCCCAAAACGGUAGCCUAACUCGUUUAUUCGAGAGGGCGCCGUCUAAGGUAGGGUCGAUGAUUGGGGUUAAGUCGUAACAAGGUAUCCCUACCGGAAGGUGGGGAUGGAUCACCUCCUUUCUAAGGAAACCAAUAAAAUCAAUCAUCUUCAGUUUUGAAAGACUUAGGCAACUAAGUUUUUCUUCGUGACUUCACGAAGGGCCUAUAGCUCAGUUGGUUAGAGCACACGCCUGAUAAGCGUGAGGUCGGUGGUUCAAGUCCAUUUAGGCCCACCAGAGUUAUAGGUUUCGUAAGAACACAAAUUCUUUGAAAAUUAGGUAAAUAAUAGUUAUUUAUCCGGAACAUUAAAGGAAAUAAGAGCGCACAGUGGAUGCCUAGGCACCAAGAGCCGAUGAAGGACG